UACGUAGGAUCCAAGCGUUGUCCGGAUUUACUGGGCGUAAAGGGCUCGUAGGCGGCCAACUAAGUCAGACGUGAAAUCCCUCGGCUUAACCGGGGAACUGCGUCUGAUACUGGAUGGCUUGAAUCCGGGAGAGGGAUGCGGAAUUCCAGGUGUAGCGGUGAAAUGCGUAGAUAUCUGGAGGAACACCGGUGGCGAAGGCGGCAUCCUGGACCGGCAUUGACGCUGAGGAGCGAAAGCCAGGGGAGCAAACGGG
rnacentral:rRNA from 1 species